GGCUAGUAAGCUGCUCAGCAGUGCCACGGAGAAGCGCUGCAGAGUGGUUGGUACAAUGUCAAAACUGAAUGUUUAUCAGCAAAUUUUGAAUUUACAGACUGCAUUAUGUUAAUGUUUUCCAUCUAGCUUUAAGUGAUUUUGCUACUUGAAAAACGGCUUUACUGAAAUGUAAAUUAACAGUCUGUUACUAUAGACCUGGUUUGGUACAUGAAUGUAAAUUUAAAACUGGUUUGCAAACAGCAGCACUUGGCAUUUGGCUAUAAAUUAUAUGAGAGCUAACUAAUUUACUACAAAUUAUCUGCUAACAUGUACUUGCAAUACAUUCAUUUAGUUGAAUUUUAUUGAAUAAAUACCUAAUGUAAUUUUA